rnacentral:rRNA from 1 species
CAGCCGUAAACAAUGUGCGUUAGGUGUGUCGGUAACCACGCGUUACUGAUGCGCCGAAGAGAAAUCGUGAAACGCACCACCUGGGAAGUACGGUCGCAAGGCUGAAACUUAAAGGAAUUGGCGGGGGAGCACCACAACAGGUGGAGCCUGCGGUUUAAUUGGGAUUCAACGCCGGGAAGCUCACCGGAUAGGACAGCAGAAUGAUUGCCGGGCUGAAGACCCUGCAUGACUAGCUGAGAGGAGGUGCAUGGCGUCAGUGACU